UUGAGAAUUAAAAGUGGUCUCCUGUGUAACUAAAGCACAGCUUCCUUUCCUGCCUUCCACUCUUCUGGGAACAAAAGAACCUCAAACCUGAGCUCAUAUCUUGUGCUUUCAAGAGGCACCGACUCACUUUGAGAAUUAAAAGUGGUCUCCUGUGUAACUAAAGCACAGCUUCCUUUCCUGCCUUCCACUCUUCUGGGAACAAAAGAACCUCAAACCUGAGCUCAUAUCUUGUGCUUUCAAGAGGCACCGACUCACUUUGAGAAUUAAAAGUGGUCUCCUGUGUAACUAAAGCACAGCUUCCUUUCCUGCCUUCCACUCUUCUGGGAACAAAAGAACCUCAAACCUGAGCUCAUAUCUUGUGCUUUCAAGAGGCACCGACUCACUUUGAGAAUUAAAAGUGGUCUCCUGUGUAACUAAAGCACAGCUUCCUUUCCUGCCUUCCACUCUUCUGGGAACAAAAGAACCUCAAACCUGAGCUCAUAUCUUGUGCUUUCAAGAGGCACCGACUCACUUUGAGAAUUAAAAGUGGUCUCCUGUGUAACUAAAGCACAGCUUCCUUUCCUGCCUUCCACUCUUCUGGGAACAAAAGAACCUCAAACCUGAGCUCAUAUCUUGUGCUUUCAAGAGGCACCGACUCACUUUGAGAAUUAAA